rnacentral:lncRNA from 1 species
AUUAAUUUAAAUAUUGACUUUUUAGCCCAUUCUGUUUACUAUGUGUGCCGGAAACGAAUUGUUUUAUUGUAUGCUGUAUCUUUUACAUUUCACUGAAGGACCAACAAUUUUGGGUUUGGGACUAUUCCGUCUUAUAACAAUAAUAUCUGCACCGGUUUCGUUUGUCAAGACUUUAAUCAGUUUGUUGCAAAUGAUAAUAGCAUGCAUGAAUCUAGGAAUCAUCGAUACAAAGGAGAGGAGCAAACAAGCGGAGAAAGAAAAAUGAAUUAAUCCAGUAUCGCUUUACAAAACUUUACUUGUGUUUGUAAUUCUUAGAAUCGGCUUUAAUAUUAUUAAUUUAUCAUAAUUACACUUCGCAUGUAAGUUAAAUUGUAAAUAAUUCUCUCUCCUAGUCAAAUGAAGGAAUUAUUUAAUUUUGAGUAGUGUUUCCCAAUCUUUGUCGACUGAUGAUCUCAUUUUAAUAUAUUAGAAAAUCUUGAUAUUAUCUGGAAGUAUUAUCAAUCAUGUUACUGCUUAGUAUGUAAUGGAAGAUGGUUAUGUGGCUCAUAUUGGUCUCAAAUACCAUUAUACCAGGAUUGACUAGAAGUUGGAAAGAGGAGAUUAAUGUGUCAAGAUACUAUCCAUCUACACAUGCAAGCAGUUGAAUUAUAGUAGUAAGCAUUAUUUUGAUGGUUACAAUUCAGAUUUUUAUCUCAAAUCGUCUGAAGGUUGGUUCUCGCUAUGACAGUGUCUAUAAUGGAAAGCGACAAAACUGACCCUAUGUCGGACCAUAAUGGAAAAGGGGUGCAUUUAUAAAUUGAGUCGGAUGGGUGCAUUUAGAAAUCGAGACUUUUACCCUAAUGGCAAAGCAGAAAAAUUAAGUAUUGAUCGGUGUAAAAGCAUUGUUGAGUGCUAGUCAGCCUUUCCAUUGUGCGCUGCACGGAUAUGUCUUUCACUGGUACAUUAUGAUAAAGAGAGCGAUGUUAUGGCUUCGUGUCGGUAAACUGUUGUAAGCGAGAACCAUUUUUGAGUAACAAGUGGGAAUCAGAAUGAUGAUUUAGCAAAUUGUAUUGGCCACUAGUUGGGAAACAUUACUUUAUAACACUAUUAUAAUUGAAAAUUAGAAAUAUCAAAUGCAUUCUCAACAUAAAAUAAAUUGUUUAAGUUCAUAAAUAUUCAUUUAUCUGGUCUGAUAAUUUGAUAAAGGGACCACCACAAAGUAUCGACCCUCUCUAACAGUUUAGAACUAAGAAACUUUCAUGAAAUUUGUAGAAAUCAUUCCAAUGUCUAUCAUUUGUUUUAUAAUUGAAUUUUCUUUAUACAGUAUUUUUAAUCAUUGACAUAAAAUUAAUUGUUUUUUUUUAUUUAUUUACAUAAAGAGUAGUUUAUAUAAUUUUAUUUCUGUAUAUAAUUUUACUUUAUAUAAGAUUAAUAUAUUAAAUUAGAUUAUUUCUUUUGUACUUCGACAUGUUUUUUAACUAACACUUUUAAUCGAGAAUGCCGGGCCAUCGAGCAAAAUGCAAUUACGAGAAGUAGCUCGAGAAGCUCGGAGACGUUGCAAGUUAAGGGUAGUCGAUGGGCAUUUCGAGGAGGCUAGUUUUUGCCGGAGUUCAGAAGAAUAUUGUCCAAUUUGCAGUCGAAUUCUGGUCAGUGCGGCACCGCAUCGACGACAAAUGCCGAAGACGAACGACAUUCGACUUUGGUAUUUGUAGUCGACUAGAAGUGCGCUUCUACACUUUGACAUCGAACAAAGUGGCGAAUGGCAAACGUGGCCGAACUUUGCAAACUUUGUCGUCCCGGCCACGAUGCCAUUGCACCACAAACCGGUAACGCAGCAAGCGGCACCGCCUAGUCCAACUUGCAGCAUUUGUCAAACUCCUUGCACUAUUUCUCUGCAUUUGUUCGAUCGGUCCUUAGAAUUCAUAUAAUUUCCCAAGGUGGAAAAGAUGUGGACUCGUUUGUAAAACCUGUACCAUUUUUUAUAUUGUGCCAAAAUUAGUUUGUUUAAUCUAAAAAAGUUCACAAACCAUACAAAAUUUCAAUUCUUGCUUAAGUAUGUACUUUAUAAAUCAACAUUCCUGUGCAUAGAAGUGAUUGUAAAUAAUAUAUUUAGGUUUUUGUAUGCAAAUAAUUAGAAAAUGUUAACAAAUUUAUCACUAAAAUGUCCCAUUUGAGAUUGAUUAUAUAUACAGUAUAUAUAUAUGUAUACACUUAUAUAUUUGUACAGACAUGUACAAUACUUAGUUAUUUUGUUGGAGAAUUGUUGAAAGUUUUAAGCUUUAUGAUGUAGAGAAAAAAUACUAAUUUGCUUGAUGUUAUCAAAUAAAUAGAUGAAAAAAUAUCAUUUAUAUUUUUUAAUGUAUACUGUAUUAUGUUAAUAAAAUCCCUAUAAUACAGUUUUUGUUGGAGUUCACUUAUGUUUGAAGCGUAUAAACAAAUAUAUAAGGCUAAUUUACACUAAAGUAUUUGAUGCCUGAGAUGUUCGGUGGGUGUUACGUGUUCAGAAUUAUAUAUCCUUAAACACAAGUACUUGCAAAAUUACUUUUGUCAACCGGAAAUCUCUAAAUUGGUGCACAAAUCCUGCAUUGGUCCCUACAAAUUCACUUAUUGUUGCACCCCGAUUACUCAAAUCCGUGC